rnacentral:rRNA from 1 species
CCUACGGGAGACAGCAGUGGGGAAUAUUGGACAAUGGGGGGAACCCUGAUCCAGCGACGCCGCGUGAGUGAAGAAGUAUUUCGGUAUGUAAAGCUCUAUCAGCAGGGAAGAAAAUGACGGUACCUGACUAAGAAGCCCCGGCUAACUACGUGCCAGCAGCCGCGGUAAUACGUAGGGGGCAAGCGUUAUCCGGAUUUACUGGGUGUAAAGGGAGCGUAGACGGUGCAGCAAGUCUGAUGUGAAAGGCCGGGGCCCAACCCCGGGACUGCAUUGGAAACUGUUAGACUGGAGUACAGGAGAGGUAAGCGGAAUUCCUAGUGUAGCGGUGAAAUGCGUAGAUAUUAGGAGGAACACCAGUGGCGAAGGCGGCUUACUGGACUGUAACUGACGUUGAGGCUCGAAAGCGUGGGGAGCAAACAGGAUUAGAUACCCCGGUAGUC